GAAGCGAGCAGGAGCACCGUCGCCCUCUUCCUCGCACGCCGCCGCCGCCGUGCCCUCGCCCUCGCCUGGCUCCCGCCGGCCGCUUGCAGGACAUCGCGUCCCUUCGCGCUCCGGACGGCAUCCUCCACCACGCCGCCUCCACGUCGCCCUUGCCCUCUCCCCGGCGCCGCCUCCGCCGCACCGCGCCCUCGCCUGCGUCGGUGCCCUGGCCCUCGCCCGCCGAACCCUUGCCCUCCUCCGUGCCGGUUACCCCCGCCUGUCCGCCGCCGCCUCUGUCUCGCCGCCGGCCGCCUGCCUCGUCGCCCUAGGGGCUCGUCACCCCCCUCCCCGUGCAGGCCGGCUCACCUGCCGCGCAGCGCACAGGCUGUAGGGGUGCCGCCGCGCUACGCAGGCUGCAGGCGCAGGCCGCCCUGGGGGCAGGGGUGCACGCCCAAUAUGCAACGAGCAAGAGCCAAGAAGCAGCCAGCCAGCCUGCAGUGAACCAAGAGUGCUGGUUCAUAGAGUCCAAGACAACAUUCCUUGGAUUGUUGAAGUGCUGGUUUUCUACAAAUGGAUCACGAGUAUGUUAGUUGUUGGAGAUAUCGUUGGUGUUAUUAUACUAUUGUUGGAGCAUAAUAUAGUAUCAUUUCAUUACAGCAAUUUCAAAUCACGGAACAAUGGCAGUAUCAUCAUUCGUCUAGCCCAGCAUUUUUUAUGAGUAAAA